rnacentral:rRNA from 1 species
ACUCCUACGGGGGCAGGCAGUGGGGAAGUCAUUAGACAAUGGGGGCAAACCCGUAGCAUCUAGCCCAUGCCGCGUGUGUGACGAAGGCCCUAGGGUCGUAAAGCACUUUCGCCGGGGAAGAUAAUGACGGUACCCGGUAAAGAAGUCCCGGCUAACUCCGUGCCAGCAGCCGCGGUAAUACGGAGGGGACUAGCGUUGUUCGGAAUUACUGGGCGUAAAGCGCGCGUAGGCGGACCAUUAAGUCAGGGGUGAAAUCCCGGGGCUCAACCCCGGAACUGCCCUUGAUACUGGUGGUCUGGAGUUCUGGAGAGGUGAGUGGAAUUCCGAGUGUAGAGGUGAAAUUCGUAGAUAUUCGGAGGAACACCAGUGGCGAAGGCGGCUCACUGGCCAGAUACUGACGCUGAGGUGCGAAAGUGUGGGGAGCAAACAGGAUUAGAUACCCUGGUAGGCUCUGC